AUGCUUGCAAUCAACUUCAGCAUACUGGCAUUACUUACAUGUGACAAACCCUGUCUGAAGAACAAAAUAUUGCUACAGAUCCCCCAAACGUUGCUGGAUCAUGUCUGUGCACACUUGGAACAGAGCUACAUCCUCUGGAAGGAAUCUGUCUUCUGUAAACUGAAAACUUUCUCUGAACUGAGCCAAUGUGUGACAAAACAACAUAGAAGGAAGAGGAAUAACUUCUCCAUACGUAAAGACAAAGUUCUGCCAUCCAGAGGAUUCUGCCUCCGGAUGAAGAGUCUUGAGGUGGUGGACAGUAAUCAGGUGGACAGCACUGUCUGAAGUAGAAACAUCAGCACUAUUAAAAGAAGGACACAUGCAUUUAUCACACUACUUAUCUAGAGCUUCCUGUCAUGCCCACAAGACCUUACUCUUUCUGGUACUGCUGCCAAAGUUGUUUUCACCACAGGAUAUUUCUGAUCAAAUUCAAGUGGAGAGAUGAAGUCUGCUGGAACAUGGUGAUGAGCACCAUUGAUGAAAACUGGUGUAACACUGCUAAUAGGUUUUCCAGUUUCUUCAAAAUUGUCUGGUAUGAAAAAAAAAAAAAAAAAAAAAAAGGCAAUGAAUUAUACGAAUUACUCUUCAUGCUUUUGGAUGGUCUUGUAUUUAAGAUAUCAGCACUGACCCUUGUCUGAUUCCUGACAGUUCUGCUAAGGAUUGUUGACAAAGAUUUAAAAGUCAAGUUUCCCAUUUGUUGAGAGUUUAGAAUUUUGAUGACAAAAGAAUCAUUAAAGUUGCACUAGCCAUUUUUAUAUAAUAUGCAAGGUAUUCACACCUGACCUGAUAUUGCAGACUGCAUGGUACAACAUAAAUACUUUUGCUAGCCCUCAGCAAACUAAAACAAGCCCUGGGAAGUGAACAGUCCAAUCAUGUUACCUUAGAACUCUAAACACCAAUUAACCCUGCUUUUUAGCUCAUAUUUCUCUUCCCUACAUUGUAGUUUAUACUGCAGUUAUGAACUUAAUUAGAUAAUCUAUCUGAAUAUGUCAUGUUUCUAUUUAAAAUGACAACUUUUGUUAGGUAAGGUUAUAAAAAAGUCAUAUAUGUGGGAAAUGUAAUGACAAAAUGUGAAAUUUAUUUUAGUUCUGAGUGAUGGUGAGAAUUUAUCAUUUAAGAGGCAGGUAUAAUUUUCUAGCAGCAGUUUGCUUUCUGUGUUGCACAACAUUUGCUGCUGAGUCCUGUAUUUCUCUUCUCCAUAUGCCAAGAAUAAGGUCUUUUUGCAUGAACAUGUCACACUUGUUCAGUAUAUUUAUGAUUCAUUCAGAAUUGAUGAACGGGUGUAUGUUGUCACACUUUGUCUUUUCUGUUUCUAGUAUUUCUAAAGUGCAUAAACUAGAUAGGCUUGAUGGGAGUUAGGAAGUUUCUCAAGGUUAGAGUGGAAGUUAGAGUGGCCUUGCAACCAAGAUAAGAAAAAGAGAAAACUUAAGGGAAUUGCACCCACAUCUUAUAUGUACAGAAAGUGCAAGAGAAGUUAGGUAGUAAGUCUACAUAGCUGGAGUUCACCUGCAGAACUUUUCACAGCUUGCCCCAAAUCUGUUCUUUGCACCAAGGAAGAACCUACGACUGCCUUCUGGUCCAGAGAAUGAUCUGUUCUCCUGGAGUUUGCAUUUUCACUGAACUCACUUAAGAUCUUUGAUCUACACUUCCACUGUAUUCUAUUGUUUUAUGAAAAGGGACACAUGGCCGAUUACACAGAUGUGGAAAGAUAAUGCCAUGAGGAAAAUAAAUCAUUCAGAUUGACUGGCA
rnacentral:lncRNA from 1 species